rnacentral:rRNA from 1 species
GGUCAAGUUAUUAAGGGUGCAGGGCGGAUGCCUUGGCACUAGGAGCCGAUGAAGGACGUGAUAAGCUGCGAUAAGCUUCGGGGAGUUGCACGUAAACUUUGAUCCGAAGAUUUCCGAAUGAGGAAACUCACUUAGAGUAAUGUCUAAGUAUCAUUAAGUGAAUACAUAGCUUAAUGAGGGGAACUCAGGGAACUGAAACAUCUAAGUACCUGAAGGAAGAGAAAGAAAUUCGAUUCCGUAAGUAGCGGCGAGCGAACGCGGAUUAGCCCAAACCAAUAAAGUUUUCUUUAUUGGGGUUGCGGACAUAUCAUAACGAAGAGGUAUCGUAAUUGAAGAGGUUUGGAAAGACCCACCACAGAAGGUAAUAGUCCUGUAUGUUAAACGAGAAGACUUCAGAUAUGAUCCAGAGUACCACGGGACACGUGAAACCCUGUGGGAAGCAGGAGGGACCACCCUCCAAGGCUAAAUACUACCUAGUGACCGAUAGCGUAUAGUACCGUGAGGGAAAGGUGAAAAGAACCCCGGGAGGGGAGUGAAAUAGAACCUGAAACCCUGCACUUACAAGCUGUGGAAGCACAUUUCUUGUGUGACCGCGUACUUUUUGUAGAACGGGCCAACGAGUUACGUUAAGUAGCAAGGUUAAGCACUUAAGGUGCGGAGCCGUAGCGAAAGCGAGUUUUAACUGAGCGUUCAGUUACUUGACGUAGACCCGAAACCGGGCGACCUACCCAUGAGCAGGAUGAAGCGAAAGUAAAAUUUCGUGGAGGUCCGAACCCACGAGCGUUGAAAAGCUCGGGGAUGACUUGUGGGUAGCGGUGAAAUUCCAAUCGAGCCCGGAGAUAGCUGGUUCUCCCCGAAAUAGCUUUAGGGCUAGCCUCAAGGUGAGAGAUACGGAGGUAGAGCACUGAAUGUCCUAGGGGGUAUUGCACCUACCGAAGACUAUCAAACUCCGAAUGCCGUCAUCUUAUACUUGGGAGUCAGACUGUGGGUGAUAAGAUUCAUAGUCGAAAGGGCAACAGCCCAGAUCGUCAGCUAAGGUCCCUAAAUGUAAGUUAAGUGGUAAAGGAUGUGGGAUUGCACAGACAACCAGGAUGUUGGCUUAGAAGCAGCCACUCAUUCAAAGAGUGCGUAAUAGCUCACUGGUCGAGUGAUCCUGCGCCGAAGAUUUCCGGGGCUAAAACUUACUACCGAAGCUACGGCAUCAGUAAUGAUGGGUAGGGGAGCUUCCCAUACGGGUUGAAGCAUGACCGUAAGGACAUGUGGACAGUAUGGGAGUGAGAAUGUUGGCAUGAGUAGCGAGAUGUGGGUGAGAAUCCCACAGGCCGUAAACCCAAGGUUUCCAGGGGAAGGUUCGUCCGCCCUGGGUUAGUCGGGACCUAAGCUGAGGCCGAAAGGCGUAGGUGAUGGACAACAGGUUGAUAUUCCUGUACUACCGAUAACCGUUUGAGAGAAGGGAUGACACAGUAGGAUAAGCUAAGCACACUGUUGGUUAUGUGUGCCCAAGCAUUGAGGCAGUCAAAGU